AUUGAACGCUGGCGGCAGGCCUAACACAUGCAAGUCGAGCGAGAGGCGGGCGGGUGAGAAAUGUCUGUCAAACUGCCUGAUGGGGGGGGAUAACUCCAGGAGACGGUAGCUAAUACCGCAUACCAUCUGAUCUGCCCAGAGGGGGUUAGCUAGUGGGUGGGGUACUGGCUCACCUAGGCGACGAUCCCUAGCUGGUCUGAGAGGAUGAUCAGCAAAACUGGAACUGAGACACGGUCCAGACUCCGACGGGAGGCAGCAGUGGGGAAUAUUGCACAAUGGGCGAAAGCCUGAUGCAGCCAUGCCGCGUGUGUGAAGAAGGCCUUCGGGUUGUAAAGCACUUUCAGCGGGGAGGCGUUACCCGCAGAAGAAGCACCGGCUAACUCCGUGCCAGCAGCCGCGGUAAUUC
rnacentral:rRNA from 1 species